UGAGAGGUAGUGUAAGUAACACAAUAGAUUUUGAGUCUACUAAUGCCAGUUCAACUCUUGCCCUCUCAU
rfam:Branchiostoma floridae mitochondrion, complete genome.